CCAGCAUGAUACUGUCCCUAUGCCCAAAGCCAUGAAGAUGUUAUCUCCAAGAAGAUAUGCUUUAAAGGAGUUAGAAUGGAAGAUAUUUUGUUGCCAGCUAUAGAGCUCCGAUUUCCAAAAAAACAUUUUUUGGGUAAGUUACAAACCUCAGGCUUCCUCACUCUACAUCAGUACUUAACUUUACUAAAAGCCUUCUGGCUGAAUGGGCACAAAUGUCCACAAACACACUCCAAAUUAUAGUGAAACAUCUUCCCAGAAGAGUGGAUGUUCAGCAAAUAGAGACUAAAAGUUAAAUAGGAUGUAAAAAAAGCACACACAAAUUUUAUGGUCAGGUGUCCACAAACUUUCCACAAACUUGUCCAUUAAGUGUCUUUUCAUAGCUGUGUGUGUGUGUGUGUGUGUGUGUGUGUGUGUGUGUGUGUGUGUGUGUGUGUGUGUGUGUGUGUGUGUGUGUAAUUUUAAAAGUGAUACUACAAUACUUUUCUAGAGCCAUAGUUUGUGUGUUUACACUUCUUUUGCCCAACUAAAGAAAAUACUGAAGUUUACAAUACAUAUUUAUCAGUUUACCCUGAUGAGUACCAGUAAGGAUUAGAACAGUCUUUACUUCUGGAGUUACAGUGUAAGAUAUGAAUUGACUUCUUGGCUUUGUGGAUUUUCCCCCUUUAGUUAUUCAGUAAAAAUAUGGGAAGUCAAGCAGCCAAGCCAGAUGAUCAGCAAUUCUUGUUAGAUGAUACUGAUGAAGUAACUCUUAUUGAGAAGAUCUCAGUUGUGAUUAUGGGACAUCAUGGAGUUGGGAAGAAUACAGUAGGGAAUGCUCUUCUUAAAAAGAAAGCCUUCACAUUCACCGAUAGAUCUAAAACAUAUUACUUAAAGGAGGAAUACACAACAAACAACAGACAUAUUGUCGUGACUCGUGUUCCAGGCUGGUCUGCAGAUUUAAGCUCUCAGAAGAAUGCACACCUUUGGCCAGUCAUUAAAGACAGUGUGCAGUCAUUUGUGGAUGGACCCAAUGUAAUUAUGCUGGUUGUUGGUACAAACACUAUACCUGCAGAGACAACAAAAGAGAAAUUAAAAGAAAUCUUGGGUGAUAGCGUUGCCCAGCACAUUUUAACCGUUUCAGUGGAUGGACAAAAAAUUGUGGUUUAUCACAGUGCUAGAAAACAAACCAUAAUUAACAGGUGUAAAUAUCACUACUUUGUAAGAUGCAUGUGUGGAAAGCAAAACAGAAAUCUAAUUGAAUCAAUUGAGGACUUUAUUGUAUAUAAGCAGGACAUUCAUUUUGUGCUCUGGGAAAGAAGGAACCAAACCUUGAACUGCAGCAUCAGGAGCUGGCUGAACUUAUGAGUAAAAUGGAAUGCAAAAUUACAGCUCUGUCUAAAUGUGUGGAUUCAAGUAUUUAUGUAAUAGAAUCAAAAAAUGCUGAGAUAAGGGAACUACAAUGUUUGCUGAAAGAAAAAGAGGAUUUGCUGAGAGCCAAAGAGGAACAGAUACAAAUCUUAAAGUCAAAUAAAAAUAAUGAAACAGCAAACCUCUGUCCAGCACAAAAAGACUGAACAGCUUGAGCAUGUGUCCAAACAAGAAGAGCAUGUAAUGAUGAAAGCGUUUCAGAAACAGAUUGGUGAUUUGGAAAACAACUUGAAGAAAAAAACAGAGAGAUAUAUCAACUGAGAAAAGAAAAACAAGAGCUGAAAUCUCAAAAGGGAAAGAAAGGAAAAUCAUCUACAAAUAAAGAGAACAGAAAGAUACUAAUUCUUUGAAUUAGUCCAACUGGCCAGAGGAGAUGCAGAAGGUGUACAAUUUCUGAAGAAAAACCACAACAAGCUCAUUGAGAGAAUUGUGGCAGUGAAACCCAUUGCUGAUGAACUGCUUCAGUUUAUUGGGCACCACAAAUAUGACAUGAUUCUACAAGCUCCAACAGAGUAUGAGCAAAAGAGACAGCUCUUCAACAUUACUCAAAAAGGUGGAGAGAAAUUACAAAUAGAGUUCUACCAAUGCCUGUUAAAACAUGAGAAAUAUCUUGUUGAAGACUUAAAGGAGUCAUCAUAAAUUACAAAAUCACCAACUUUAGAACAUUUCACCAAAAUUUGACAUGGAGUUUGGUUCUGAGCUCAGCUCUCUGUUCUACAAUGUGCCAUGGUGCCUGUACUUCUUUUCUGAGGUGCUUGGGGUGCUCUGUGAUUUCAUGGACUCAUAAUG